rnacentral:lncRNA from 1 species
GCCUCCUAUGUCGCAGACGAGGAUUUCGAUCAAUGAAGCUUUUGCCAAAUUUGACAAAACUGGAGACGGAGUAAUUACUGUUGAAGAUCUGAGGGGUGUUUAUAGUGUUAAACGUCACCCUAAAAAUUUAAAUGGAGAAAUGACAGAGGAUCAAAGUCUCAGAAAUUUCUUGAUGAUGACCAGAGUUAAGACGAACGGUAUAAAAAAGUUUUUAUGUUUUUUUUAUAUGCAUCAUAUGUAUAAAAGAAGGGCAAAAAUACCAGAGG